CCGACGUCCAACUGUCUACUAACUACUGAUUCCAACAGAUCCACGCCCACUACACUGUUCUACUCUACACACUUUGCGUGCUUGUCUGCUGUUACGAUACCAUCUACCAGCACAUCCUUCCCUCGCCCCCUUUCUCAGCUACGGAACAUCCCUCUACAACAAAGGACCCUUGAAAUAGGACAACAACAUCACCCAAAAAAGAAGGAAAAGAAAAAGAAAAAAAGAUUCAAAAGAAAAAAAUUACAUUCCUAAAACUGAUGGUGUGACACUAUGGUUUUAUAUUAUGACACAUGCAAUUUCAGUCGAGAAAGUUAGUCGAAUCGUAAAAAAGUCAGUCGAGUAAAUUUAAACGAGUAAAUCAAUUGAAUAUUGUGAUUUUUUUUUUCGUCUAUGUUUUUACAAAAUAAAGGAAAUUAAAAAAAUUAAAAUAAAAAUGAAAAUGAAAAAUAAAUUAAAUAGUAAAAGCAAAAAUACCGCGAGACCCUUACAAACUUGAUGGAGGUCAUUUUAGACGGUUUCGGUUGCUGCAGGCAAUUCAUUCACUUAACAAGUAAAAUCUCCUUUCUUUCUCCGAAGGUGCUGCGAAGCCUUCCACUGCUGCUAAACACCUGAUGAAAUUCGGCAGUAAAUGUAGACACUUCGUUAUCCCAGCUUUUUUUAAAAAAAAUUAAUAAAUGGUAGCCUUGCAGAAUCCGGUUUAACGAGGCGAUUUUGGCAUGCAUUAUAAUUGCUUUUCACACAUGUUUUCCCAUAUCGUUUUCUUUCUCCAAGGCAAAAUAGAGCGAUGGAUAGAAUACAUGCUAUACAUACGAUAUAGUCUAUAGUCCAUUUUGCAUCUACAGAUCCCUAGCGCACUACUCUGUUUUGUACAACCAAAAGUCCAUCUUGCAUCCAUACAAUCUUAUUUACCACUUUUAAUUUUUCAUCCUUCUUUACCAUUUUUUAUUUCCAUCCUUCUCUACCGCUUCUAAUCCCUCUCCCAUCCUUCUACUUUCGUUACCGUUUUGAUGCGCUAACGAUAAAUAAUACAACAUUAGAUUUUCUUUAACCUUCUUUCCAUUCUCCUCAACACUUUAAAUGGCCCACUUUAAUAAUUUUGCUUGCCCGGUUUUCCUGCUAUUCCAUUUGCUUGCCGUUACAAUGUAUCCGCAUGUUUGCUCCUACUAUCGCCGCAUUGCGUUCCAUUCCAUUUUGCUAUCGCAAUUGCUCUGAAAUCGGCUGCGUGCUAAUUUUUGGACGCAAAGCUGCGAUCAUGGAAUCUAGCUUCAAACUCUGGUAUAAACCUUUUUUUAAACGCUUAAAAAACAACCAAAGUUAGUGCGCUCUCAAGCUUAAAGUUACGGAUUUCCCCAAAUCCGAUAUCUAUUUACCGAGCGCAAUAGUUUGUAAAUUUAAAAAAAAUAAAUAAUAAAUAAUAAAUAAAUAAAAAAUUACACAAACCUUGAAUUUGAUCCAAACAACCUUUGCAUCCUUUGUCGAUCAAAUUCCCAUUCCUUCAUUUCUUUUAAAAAAAAAUUUUUUUUUCUAGAGCCGUUCCUUUCUCAAUUCAUUUUCGGGCAUAUUUAUUUUGCUUCCUCUCUUCCUUCCUUUCUUUGUUUACACAAAAAACCAUGAUAUUCCAAUUGAUCUUGCAUGCUCAUUUCUCACUACACCCUAAUAAUCCCUUUCCUUCAUUCACUCUAUCCUAAAUUAAAAAUUGCCCUUGCAUCUUUUUUGUUUAUCCAAAAUUAUUUAAAAUUAGUGCAUCAAAAUCUUUUCUCGCAAUUGCAUUCCAUCACAUUACGUUUUAUUUUGCUAAUUUUUUUUCGACAUCGCUCACUCCAAUACUCAAUAUUUAUUUACCAUAUUUUACGCAUUACAUCCUUAAUGUUUUAAUGUCAUUGAGUUUAUUCUGUUAUCUGCUAAUACCGAUUUUACUACCUUUCUCCCUGUUUUCCAUAAAACAUAUUCCCAACAGUGUCUUUAAAUGACGUAGGGUCAUUUCCUAGUAAUUCAUUAUGUUCAGCACCUAGUCUCACGGUACCCUUUCUUCUACAUU
rnacentral:lncRNA from 1 species